rnacentral:rRNA from 1 species
CCUACGGGCGGCUGCAGUGGGGAAUAUUGGACAAUGGGCGAAAGCCUGAUCCAGCCAUGCCGCGUGUGUGAAGAAGGCCUUCGGGUUGUAAAGCACUUUCAGUGGGGAAGAAAGCCUUGGGGCUAAUACCCUCGAGGAAGGACAUCACCCACAGAAGAAGCACCGGCUAACUCCGUGCCAGCAGCCGCGGUAAUACGGAGGGUGCGAGCGUUAAUCGGAAUUACUGGGCGUAAAGCGCGCGUAGGCGGUCUGAUAAGCCGGUUGUGAAAGCCCCGGGCUCAACCUGGGAACGGCAUCCGGAACUGUCAGGCUAGAGUGCAGGAGAGGAAGGUAGAAUUCCCGGUGUAGCGGUGAAAUGCGUAGAGAUCGGGAGGAAUACCAGUGGCGAAGGCGGCCUUCUGGACUGACACUGACGCUGAGGUGCGAAAGCGUGGGUAGCAAACAGGAUUAGAUACCCAGUAGUC